CAACUAUUCCCUCUGUCCGGAAAACUUGUCCUUCAAAUGGAUGUAUCUAGUACCAAGUUAGUGCUAGAUGCAUCUAUUUAAAAACAAGUUUGGGAUAAGCUUUUUCGGAUGAAGGGAGUACUUA
rfam:Triticum aestivum genome assembly, contig: Triticum_aestivum_CS42_TGACv1_scaffold_291062_4AL